UUUAACUUAAAAAGUAGAUAAUAAAUAUAUGAUCUCAUAUCGAACUCGAAAAUAUAUCUAUCUUUUCUAAAACUACUGUUUUUAUAUGGAAUUCUUAGACAGUUAAA
rnacentral:rRNA from 1 species